CCAAACUUGGUCAUUUAGAGGAAGUAAAAGUCGUAACAAGGUUUCCGUAGGUGAACCUGCGGAAGGAUCAUUAAUUGAUCAUCCAAAAGAAAAAUGGCCGCAUUUUCUCGAAAAUAACGCCAUUUUUUUUGCCACUGUGAACUGUCUUGUACUGUUGUAUUAAUUUUAAAAAUGUUAUUGCCUUUUUUCUUCGGAAAAGAGAUAAUGAAAGACAACUUUCAGCAAUGGAUCUCUUGGCUCUUGCAUCGAUGAAGAACGCAGC
rnacentral:misc_RNA from 1 species